rnacentral:rRNA from 1 species
CCUGACGCAGCGACGCCGCGUGAGUGAUGAAGGCUUUCGGGUCGUAAAGCUCUGUCGGAGGGGAAGAAACCCCUGAAGGUUGAUACCCUUCAGGACUGACGGUACCCUCAAAGGAAGCACCGGCUAACUCCGUGCCAGCAGCCGCGGUAAUACGGAGGGUGCAAGCGUUGUUCGGGAUUAUUGGGCGUAAAGCGCGUGCAGGCGGUUGGUUAAGUCUGAUGUGGAAGCCCCGGGCUCAACCCGGGAAGUGCAUUGGAUACUGGUCAACUUGAGUACGGGAGAGGGUAGUGGAAUUUCGAGUGUAGGGGUGAAAUCCGUAGAUAUUCGAAGGAACACCGGUGGCGAAGGCGGCUACCUGGACCGAUACUGACGCUGAGACGCGAAAGCGUGGGGAGCAAACAGGAUUAGAUACCCUGGUAGUCCACGCCGUAAACGAUGGGUACUAGGUGUCGCGGGUAUUGACCCCUGCGGUGCCGAAGCUAACGCAUUAAGUACCCCGCCUGGGGAGUACGGCCGCAAGGCUAAAACUCAAAGGAAUUGACGG